GGUUUGAUCAUGGCUCAGAUUGAACUGGCGGGAUGCUUUACACAUGCAAGUCGAACGGCAGUACGGACUUCGGUCUGGUGGCGAGUGGCGAACGGGUGAGUAAUGUAUCCGGAACGUGCCUAGUAGCGGGGAUAACUACGCGAAAGCGUAGCUAAUACCGCAUACGCCCUUCGGGGAAAGCGGGGGACCUUCGGGCCUCGCACUAUUAGAAACGGCCGAUAUCCCGGAUUAGCUAGUUGGUGGGGUAACGGCUCACCAAGGCGACGAUCCGUAGCUGGUUUGAGGACGACCAGCCACACUGGGAUGAGACACGGCCCAGACUCCUACAGGAGGCAGCAGUGGGGAAUUUUGGACAAUGGGGGAAACCCUGAUCCAGCCAUCCCGCGUAUGCGAUGAAGGCCUUCGGGUUGUAAAGCACUUUUGGCAGGAAAGAAACGGCACGGGAUAAUACCCCGUGCAACUGACGUACCUGCAGAAUAAGCACCGGCUAACUACGUGCCAGCAGCCGCGGUAAUACGUAGGGUGCAAGCGUUAAUCGGAAUUACUGGGCGUAAAGCGUGCGCAGGCGGUUCGGAAAGAAAGAUGUGAAAUCCCAGAGCUUAACUUUGGAACUGCAUUUUUUAACUACCGAAGCUGAGUGUGUCAGAGGAGGUGGAAUUCCGCGUGUAGCAGUGAAAUGCGUAGAUAUGCGGAGGAACACCGAUGGCGAAGGCAGCCUCCUGGGAUAACACUGACGCUCAUGCACGAAAAGCGUGGGGGAGCAAACAGGAUUAGAUACCUGGUAGUCCACGCCCUAAACGAUGUCAACUAGCUGUUGGGGCCUUCCGGGCCUUGGUAGCGCAACUAACGCGUGAAGUUGACCGCCUGGGGGAUACGGUCACCAAGAUUAAAACUCAAAGGAAUUGACGGGGUUGCACAAGCAGUGGAUGAUGGAUUAAUUCGAUGCAACGCAGAAAAACCUUACCUACCCUUGACAUGUCUGGAAUCCCGAGAUUUGGGAGUGCUCGCAAGAGAACCGGAACACAGGUGCUGCAUGGCUGUCGUCCAGCUCGUGUCGUGAGAUGUUGGGUUAAGUCCGCAACGAGCGCAACCCUUGUCAUUAGUUGCCACGAAAGGGCACUCUAAUGAGACUGCCGGUGACAAACCGGAGGAAGGUGGGGAUGACGUCAGAGUCAUGGCCCUUAUGGGUAGGGCUUCACACGUCAUACAAUGGUCCGGGACAAGGGUCGCCAACCCGCGAGGGGGGCCAAUCCCAGAAACCCGAUCGUAGUCCGGAUCGCAGUCUACCCAACUCGACUGCGUGAAGUCGGAAUCGCUAGUAAUCGCGGAUGCAGCAUGUCGCGGUGAAUACGUUCCCGGGUCUUGUACACACCGCCCGUCACACCAUGGGAGUGGGUUUUACCGAAGUAGUUAGCCUAACCGUAAGGAGAGCGGUACCACCACGGUAAGUUCAUGACUGGGGUGAAGUCGUAACAAGGUAA
rnacentral:rRNA from 1 species